UCCUAUUGUUUUUGACGAAAAUGUCAAUGUGAUUUUCAGAUUCGAUAAUAUGAAAUGAGUUUUCCCACUGUUUUGGGUGGGGAAAAAAAUGAAUUUUUCAUCAAUUUGGAUUUUAAAAACCAAACACCUCAAAAAAUUAGGGGUUUUCCUUGCUUUUUCCGGAUUAUAAAAUCCAAACCCCUUCUAAACACCUAUCGUGUGCCAAGAAUUAAGGGGAAAAACAUUUUGGAUUAUAUAUUCUGAACCGUAUCAUCACAAAUAUUGAGCUUGUUUGUAACAUGGAUAGCCAUUUUAUGGAACAUAUUAUUCAUCCUAACCCCAUCCUUGUGUUUUAGAUCAUUGUUAGUUGCUCCUGUCGUGUCUCGGUCGAAAAUCUAGUUUUCGGACUACUUGAUUAGAUUGCUCUAAACUUUCCCAGAAAAAAAAAUUGCAUUAGUUUUAUUUGAUUUUUAAAUUUUUUUUGGUGG
rnacentral:lncRNA from 1 species